rnacentral:rRNA from 1 species
AUGGAAGAAGUGUCUGAACUGCAACCUCUCCCUGAUGCACAUUUCCCUGCUAUGAAAUUUAAGCUCCACGGAAUAUCAAUUAACCUUCUUUAUGCCAAUGUUUCUCUUGCAGUAGUGCCAUCGGAUCUGGAUAUCUCUCAAAAUUCAGUGCUUUAUGGCGUUGAUGAAGUAAAUCUCCUCAGUCUUAGCGAGUGCAGAGUGGCAGACCAAAUUCUUGAUCUUGUUCCAAAUAUCGAGAACUUCCGAACAACUUUAAGGUGUGUGAAGUACUGGGCGAAAAGAAGAGGUGUUUGCGUUAAUGCCCCUGGUUAUCUCAGAGAGGUCGAUUGCGCUGUGAUGGUUGCGCGUAUCUGCCAGGCCUACCCUAAUGCUGCGCCGAGCACGCUGGUCACGAUGUUCUUUAGCAUCUUCGGCGAGUGGUACUGGCCGAACCCGGUGAUGCUCUGCUCCAUUCAUGAAGAUUGGGAGCUUGGUUUUCCCGUUGGGAUGCACGCUUCAACGGUGAAGACCGGUCGCAUGUCAUGCCCAUCAUUACCCCGGCGUACCCGUGCAGAAACUCGACCGUGCAUGUUUCGGCAACCACGCUGGGGGUCAUGA